rnacentral:rRNA from 1 species
UGUGGGAAGGCCCAGACAGCCAGGAUGUUGGCUUAGAAGCAGCCAUCAUUUAAAGAAAGCGUAAUAGCUCACUGGUCGAGUCGGCCUGCGCGGAAGAUGUAACGGGGCUAAACCAUGCACCGAAGCUGCGGCAGCGACACUAUGUGUUGUUGGGUAGGGGAGCGUUCUGUAAGCCUGUGAAGGUGUACUGUGAGGUAUGCUGGAGGUAUCAGAAGUGCGAAUGCUGACAUAAGUAACGAUAAAGCGGGUGAAAAGCCCGCUCGCCGGAAGACCAAGGGUUCCU